rnacentral:rRNA from 1 species
UACAGAGGGUGCAAGCGUUGUUCGGAAUUAUUGGGCGUAAAGCGCGUGUAGGCGGCUUGGCAAGUCGGGUGUGAAAUCCCUCAGCUCAACUGAGGAAGUGCGCCCGAAACUGCUGAGCUUGAGUACUGGAGAGGGUGGCGGAAUUCCCCAUGUAGAGGUGAAAUUCGUAGAUAUGGGGAGGAACACCGGUGGCGAAGGCGGCCACCUGGCCAGAUACUGACGCUGAGACGCGAAAGCGUGGGUAGCAAACAGG